GCCCAGGUGGCGAAAUUGGUAGACGCACCAUCUUGAGGGGGUGGCGACCGUAAGGUCAUAAGAGUUCGAGUCUCUUUCUGGGCA
rnacentral:tRNA from 2 species